rnacentral:rRNA from 1 species
UCAGGUAGGGAUACCCGCUGAACUUAAGCAUAUA